AGAGUUUGAUCCUGGCUCAGAUUGAACGCUGGCGGCAGGCCUAACACAUGCAAGUCGAGCGGAUGACAGGAGCUUGCUCCUGAAUUCAGCGGCGGACGGGUGAGUAAUGCCUAGGAAUCUGCCUGGUAGUGGGGGACAACGUUUCGAAAGGAACGCUAAUACCGCAUACGUCCUACGGGAGAAAGCAGGGGACCUUCGGGCCUUGCGCUAUCAGAUGAGCCUAGGUCGGAUUAGCUAGUUGGUGAGGUAAUGGCUCACCAAGGCGACGAUCCGUAACUGGUCUGAGAGGAUGAUCAGUCACACUGGAACUGAGACACGGUCCAGACUCCUACGGGAGGCAGCAGUGGGGAAUAUUGGACAAUGGGCGAAAGCCUGAUCCAGCCAUGCCGCGUGUGUGAAGAAGGUCUUCGGAUUGUAAAGCACUUUAAGUUGGGAGGAAGGGCAUUAACCUAAUACGUUAGUGUUUUGACGUACCGACAGAAUAAGCACC
rnacentral:rRNA from 1 species